rnacentral:rRNA from 1 species
GACGAACGCUGGCGGCGUGCUUAACACAUGCAAGUCGAACGGAAAGGCCCUGCUUUUGUGGGGUGCUCGAGUGGCGAACGGGUGAGUAACACGUGAGUAACCUGCCCUUGACUUUGGGAUAACUUCAGGAAACUGGGGCUAAUACCGGAUAGGAGCUCCUGCUGCAUGGUGGGGGUUGGAAAGUUUCGGCGGUUGGGGAUGGACUCGCGGCUUAUCAGCUUGUUGGUGGGGUAGUGGCUUACCAAGGCUUUGACGGGUAGCCGGCCUGAGAGGGUGACCGGCCACAUUGGGACUGAGAUACGGCCCAGCCUCCUACGGGAGGCAGCAGUGUGGAAUAUUGCACAAUGGGCGGCAGCCUGAUGCAACAACGCCGCGUGCGGUAUGACGGCCUUCGGGUUGUAAACCGCUUUCGCCUGUGACGAAGCGUGAGUGACGGUAAUGGGUAAAGAAGCACCGGCUAACUACGUG